rnacentral:rRNA from 1 species
GACAGAGGUCCCGAGCGUUAGGCGGAAUCACUGGGCUUAAAGCGUGUGUAGGCGGAGUUCUAAGUACCUUGUGAAAUCCCACGGCUCAACCGUGGAACUGCUUGGUAUACUGGUUCUCUUGAGCCACCUAGGGGCAACCGGAACAAACGGUGGAGCGGUGAAAUGCGUAGAUAUCGUUUGGAACGCCAAUGGUGAAAACAGGUUGCUGGGGGUGUGCUGACGCUGAGACACGAAAUCCAGGGGAGCAAACGGG